GAUGUUCAUUAUUAAACAACAAUCUGCUUCAUCAUUCAUGUUUGUGCUUCAUGCUGUAGUUAAUGUUUGUAUUAUUAAUGUAUUUGUUUCAUUUGUACGGUGUGACCUUGUUUCUCAGCUCCACAGAGGCCAAGACCUGUCCAGAUCUCAACAUCCACCUUCUAUCCAGAUCAAACUAUCAGCUCAUUUUCAAACACGCCGCCCUAUCUGAGAACAUCAGACACAAACCCACAAUCCAGCAGCAUCACGAUCACAGACCAUCAGAUCAUCUCUUCAACAGGUUCAUCUUCUGACCUUCAUCUUGAACUUUACAUCACAUCGUCCAUCAGAACAGGAAGUGAAAGCUUCAGUUGUGAUUAUCGUCACUGCGGAGGCUUUGGUUUUACUCCUGAUAGCAGUUCCACUGAUUAUAGUGGCUGUGAGAAAGAAAAAGAAGAAUAAAGGUCUGCUGUCAUCCUCCACUGUAAAGUUUAAUCCAGUGUUUUAUGAACAGAUCAAAGACGCUGGACAUCACUGUAAUCCAGAGGACAGAGACACAGAAAUAACUGUAUUUUACAGCUGUGGUUCAUAAACUAUUGUCAUAUAUAAUGUAAUGUAAUGUAAUGUAAUGUAAUGCAAUAUAUAGCUACCAAAUUAUCUUCAUCCUUCUCAUCAUUUUCAUCGUUUUACUGAACAUGAGUCAUAAUAAAGCUUGUUUUGUCUGUUCAUUAUCAGUUUCAUCUUCAUGACUUGAUUAUUUGGUCAUUUGUGUUUUAUUGUAAUCAUCAUUAAUGUGGCAGUUUUACAUUUGAUUCUGGAUAUGGAUCAUAAAAUAAAUGUAUUCUUUUUUUA